UUNUGUUCUUUGCCGCGUUAGCUUAUCGUU
rnacentral:piRNA from 1 species